UCUGAUGAUGGCCUUCCGUUCUGUGCAC
rnacentral:piRNA from 1 species